rnacentral:rRNA from 1 species
UAGUCCACGCCGUAAACGAUGUCAACUAGCCGUUGGGGGUCUUGUACCUUUAGUGGCGCAGCUAACGCGAUAAGUUGACCGCCUGGGGAGUACGGCCGCAAGGUUAAAACUCAAAUGAAUUGACGGGGGCCCGCACAAGCGGUGGAGCAUGUGGUUUAAUUCGAUGCAACGCGAAGAACCUUACCAGGUCUUGACAUCCAGAAAAUUCAGCAGAGAUGCAGAAGUGCCUUCGGGAAUUCUGUGACAGGUGCUGCAUGGCUGUCGUCAGCUCGUGUCGUGAGAUGUUGGGUUAAGUCCCGUAACGAGCGCAACCCUUGUCCUUAGUUGCCGGCAAUUCGGUUGGGAACUCUAACGAGACUGCCUACGCAAGUAGCGAGGAAGGCGGGGACGACGUCAAAUCAUCAUGGCCUUUAUGCCCAGGGCUACACACGUGCUACAAUGGCAGGUACAAUGGGUCGCCAACCCGCAAGGGGGAGCCAAUCCCAAAAAUCCUGUCCCAGUUCGGA